GUGUUGUAUGAAAGGAGAGAAGGUUAGCACUCCCCUUGACAAAAUAUCCAGGAUUUCAGGAGCCAGUACAGAGCAAAAAUGUUUCUAUUUUUGUCUUAUGACACAUACUGAACUGUACAAUAAAUAAAAUUUUAAAGUUUUUAU
ensembl:snRNA